rnacentral:rRNA from 1 species
CGAGUCUUAACUGGGCGAAUUAGUUGCAGGGUAUAGACCCGAAACCCGGUGAUCUAGCCAUGGGCAGGUUGAAGGUUGGGUAACACUAACUGGAGGACCGAACCGACUAAUGUUGAAAAAUUAGCGGAUGACUUGUGGCUGGGGGUGAAAGGCCAAUCAAACCGGGAGAUAGCUGGUUCUCCCCGAAAGCUAUUUAGGUAGCGCCUCGUGAACUCAUCUCCGGGGGUAGAGCACUGUUUCGGCUAGGGGGUCAUCCCGACUUACCAACCCGAUGCAAACUGCGAAUACCGGAGAAUGUUAUCACGGGAGACACACGGCGGGUGCUAACGUUCGUCGUGAAGAGGGAAACAACCCAGACCGCCGGCUAAGGUCCCAAAGUCAUAAUUAAGUGGGAAACGAAGUGGGAAGGCUCAGACAGCCAGGAUGUUGGCUUAGAAGCAGCCAUCAUUUAAAGAAAGCGUAAUAGCUCACUGGUCGAGUCGGCCUGCGCGGAAGAUGUAACGGGGCUAAAUUAUGCACCGAAGCCGCGGCAGCGAUAUGUAAAUAUUGUUGGGUAGGGGAGCGUUCUGUAAGCCUGUGAAGGUGACCUGUGAGGGUUGCUGGAGGUAUCAGAAGUGCGAAUGCUGACAUAAGUAACGAUAAUGCGGGUGAAAAACCCGCACGCCGGAAGACCAAGGGUUCCUGUCCAACGUUAAUCGGGGCAGGGUGAGUCGACCCCUAAGGCGAGGCUGAAAAGCGUAGUCGAUGGGCAACGGGUUAAUAUUCCCGUACUGGUGGUAACUGCGAAGGGGGGACGGAGAAAGCUAAAUCAUCCGGGCGACGGUUGUCCCGGUUUAAGCGUGCAGGUGGACUGACCAGGCAAAUCCGGUCGGUUGUUAACAC